AUGUUUGUGAGGGAACCAGGCCCAGGUCCUGUACCUGAGAGGCCAUCACAUCUCCGUUUCUGGUUUCAUCUGGAGAUGGCUGGGCCAGACGGGCCCAAACAAGAGCUUGGUUGCGAGGACUCAUGGAGCCCAGGGGCAGAUUGUUUUCAGUUCACCAAAGCCCUAGUAAUCAAGGGAAACAGUCUACUCAACGUGGAAGAAUUUGAUAACAGAUCAAUGAAAUCAUUGCAUCAUAAAACGGCAGCUAGGAGGGCCCUCAGGGGCUCUCUGGUGCCACCUCCUCAUUUUACAGAUAAUCAAGGUCUCAGAAGCUGUGACCUGCGUCAAGGCUGCACAAGGAGGGUGAAGGGUGUGAUCUGAACACAAGUUCUGGGACUCCACAGUACCACUUUCCUCCCUAACCACAGAUCUUUUGAUCUUUUGAAAUUUUGAAAUAAGUAUUGCAU
rnacentral:lncRNA from 1 species